UGUCCCGUUGACAUUCGCCUUUGAUAUUUGAAAGCAAACGCAACGCGACGAAGCGCACAGGCAAAGUGCAGCAAACAAAAGUGAGACACAUACGUACACACACGUACACACAGGCAGGCACACACACAUACUUAGCGCGCUGUGGCUUUCAGUUGGCAAACGAGUGUCGACUUUGCAGUAUCUGCAGUUGCUGUUGCCCCAUCGUAUCCGUACCCGUAUUUGUAUCUGUGUAUCUCUCUCUGUGCAUCUGGAUCUUUUUUGGCUAUUCGUUUGAUUCGCAGCAACAAGCUUUAAAUCUCAAACCGCGGCUAAAUUUAGACCAAAAAAAAGUGCUACUCUUCACUAACCAGCCCAAGGUCGCGGAUGACGUCAGCGUCGUCUCUGUGCGCGCACUUAUUGCAUAAUUCUAAUUAUUAUUAUGCGCCUUGCGGUUGCCUCUUUUUUUUUGCAGUUUUCUAAUUGCAGUUUGAACCGUCAUAAAAAUCGGAUUAUAUAUAUGUAUAUAUAUAUAAAUUAAACAAAGAGCUCAAAGCUUUAAGCUUGUUAGAUACGUUAACUGAUACGCGUCUAGCUUUGUUUUUUUUUUCUUCGUUUUUUAUGUGUGGGCGCAAUGUACCUGAAAAGCUUUAGAUACUUAAUGCAUCUAGUAUAACGCUUUGUUUGCCUAUCGUGGCUGCGUUGGCCAAUUGAUAAUUCAAUUUAAUUUGCUGUCGAAAUAGCCAUUUUAGAGCCAUGCCUAACGUAAAUCAAAAGAAACUGAGAAAGGGGGAUUUUUGGUUUGCUUUUUUUUUUGUGGUGAAAACUUAUUUCAUGCGGGACUGAAAAUAAGGAACUGAAUUACAAAGAAGGUGGUCAAAGUUCAGUCAAGCCACACUCAAUUGUUUUCUCUUUUUAGAUUUAGAUUUCUCUGCUUUUCUCUGAGUGUAUUUCAGCUAUUUGUACAAUCAGUCAAUCGCCUGCUAUUACGUAUUACCCCAGCCACAGUCAAUUAGUUCAAGUUCAUUAGACUAGAAAUCAGCCCCAGCCCCAGCCUCAGCCCCAUUUGCAUGCACAGCCUCCCCCGAGAGUUAAUCAUUGGCUGAACUUUCGACUGUGCACACGCCAGACUUUAGCUAUAACACAUGCCUAUUUAUUAUUAUAAUAUAUAAUAAUAUAUUUUUUAGAAUUUAGUUCUUGUUGCUGUCUCGUCAGUUUGUCUGGCUCGUGGCCUUAUCAUGUCGAAAUGAGUUUGCAAAAUGAACUAACAAAAACUUAUCAACAAAAGCCAAAGAGUGCACAGUUUGCUAGGCUGUUAAUAAUGCUUGCAAAAUGGGCAGUUUCCGAUACAUAGAUACAUUAUAGACAUAUAGAUACAUGUAUAAAGACUUAUAUGAUUCCCAUUCCGAUAUAUAGAUACAAUAUAGACAUCCAGAUACAUGUAUUAAGACUUAUAUAAGCGGGCACUCAUCGAUCAAGGUCGUUGCAAAGCAACAAAUGACAGCUAAAAUAAACGCUAGAUACUGUAUCUAUAUGGGCUACAUAUAUAUAUAUAGAGUAUAUAUAUAUAUAUAGUCUUAGUCUUAGUAAAGCCAAGACAAUUGGCAUUUUGAUGUCAUGCGCUGGCAAAUCAUUUACAUGGUCAAGGUUACGUCUCUGCAAAACAGACACAGCUGACAAAAGUGAAAAUUAGGAAUAUAUAUAUAUAGUAUAUACAGCUAUAUAUAUAUAUCAAAUAGUUUGCGUCGACUGAUUGACUAAUAGGAGCUGGGAAAUAUUUACUGCAGCUUUUGAUUCAAGAGUGAGGGCGCGUUGAACUAACAAGCGGGCGGUGGCUGGUUCAAAUUCGACUCAAAUUUCUUAUUUGCAUAUUUCAAAUCUUAUUAUUCAAAACAAGUAAGAGUGCUCUAUAUAUAUAUAUAAAUAUAUAUAUAUUUAUAUACUUAAUUGUGCGCCUGCAGUCAUUGCCUUUGUUUACCUCACACCCCACAGGGUCUUAUCAAUUGUUUUAUUUACUUCGUUUAUGUCAAAACAAAAGUAAAAGCCAAUGUUUGAGACGCAGUUUGAUUUGGAACGUGUUCGAAAUUAAUAUGCCAGCACGAAAUGCAGCUGCCGAAAUGCCAUUAUAUUAUAUAUAUAUAUGCCUGCAUAUUUAAUAUAUAUAGAAUGCAUAUUUGCAAUAUGCCUGUUUAAAACAAUUGAUUUGUGCGGGUAUAAUAAUAAUAAUAUAAUAACAGUUAUAUAAUAAUAUCUAGUAUAUAAGGAUAUAAUACCAAGACUUACAUGUGAAUUUCUACUUGGGCACAAGUUUCUAGCCAAGCAAAUACUUACGACUGAGACUGUAGACUACCAUAGCCAUAGCUGAUGAUAUUAGCUCUAUGCAAUGCAAAGCUGACUUAGUUAAGAGUAUGAUAUAACAGUUUUCUCUGGUACAUAUAUAGACAGGGCUGCAAAUUUGUAAUUGGUUCGGUUCAAGGUUCAAAAUAGAAUCCUACUUUAAAGGUUGAGAUAACUUGAUCUACUGAGCUACUCGUUGGUAAUAGAUACAUAUAUCAAAAUCAUAUACAUAUUAGAUAUGCUAUAUCAGAUAUAUACUAUAUUAUUGCCUUGCCUAUUUUCAAACAUUUGCCUCUGCGUCAAUCAAAUCCUUUUGGUCAACUUUCGCUGACAUUUGACUGUGCAAAUUGUCGCACGUUUGCGAGCUCUGAGCCCGACUCCGACUAAGCUUAGUAACGGAACUAAGGCUUGUUUAUUUUUAUGCGGAUUUCACUUGCCCGCACGGCAAACCCUAGAGCCUAGGGGAGAUGGCGGCGCUGCGGCAGUUAGUUGGUUAAUUUAGCUGCUUCGUGUGCUUCGUUUUGCGGUCAAGUUGCAAAUUGCAGCCGAGUGCAAUUGGAUUUGUGUUGAGUCUCGCUUUGUUUUGGCCAUGAUAAUCGUGUCACUCCGUCUGUAUUUAUUUGACGGCUUCCACAGUCACAGUUUCACAGACAAUCGCAAUAAACUGGAGCCAUCGUUUUGCAUUUGCAUUUGCCCAUUGGCACAGUUUUGAUUAUCAUUUCGAGCUGGAAACAGAAACGUUUCGAGAGCAAUUCAAAUGGCAAAGUGGCAGCUAAGAAGCAACAGAAAAAUAAACAAGAAUGAGGGAGAGGUUUUCGAAUGCCGCAGACUGAAUACUCUGCCAGACAAUUGGCUAACGACUUGGCAGUUUUGUGGGAGGUAUUGUGUGAAGCUCGCAAGAGUUAGGCUUGCUUUGAAUAGCUUGAAAGAGAAAAAGAUCUUGGCUAUAGAUUUAAAUAUUUACUCCGAUUUUGUGCGGCUUUAGUCGAUAAUUGUACAGUUUCCAGCUUGGCCAAGAUAUCUCGAGAUACGAAAAAGUUGGUUAUACAAAAACAAAAACCUAUUUUUUCUAUGGAAUCUAUAUGAUAUAGUGGCCCGAUCCAUUCGGUUCGGAUAUACUCAUAUACCGUCUGUAACAGAUUGACAAAACUGUUGAGAGUUUCAUCAUAAUAUUUUGCGUACUGUAAGAAUACUUGGCAUAGAAAUAGACACACGAACAGAUGAACUUUGCUUUAUCAACUCGGCUGUUGAUGCUGAUCAAGAAUAUAUAUAUAUAUAUAUACUUAAGCUAUUUAUGGGAACGAAUAUAUCUCCUUCAUAGUAUAACACAUUUAAUACCCUUUCCAAGCGUAUACAACUCAAAAACCCAGCUCGAGAUACAUUUACAGUGUGCAUAGAUACAGAUACAAAUUGAGAGAUAGAGAUACUUUCAUGCAUUUGUCAUGACGUGCGCUCAAUUUAAAUGUUAUGCAUGUGCGCAUAUGUGUGUGUGCGCUUAUAUAGCAGCAUAUAUAAUUGCCUUGAUCAUAUGCUCGCCGCAUGCACAGCUGAGGCGAGGCCUGGGACGGAGACAGAGACGGGGACGGGGCGGGGGCAGGGGCUGCAUCCCAGCUAUCAAGUUGGCAACUUAAUGGGCUGUGCAGCGUCGCUUUAUGACAUACUAUAUAGGCAAAAUAUAGCUGUCAGCACACAGUGCCUGUCAAACUGUUCGAUGCCAGGUCAAUCGUAAGGCAAUUAAAGACUGCCCGACUAGCAGAUGCUCUGUGAACAACUCCUGACUCUUAAAUGUAGGUGAGGGGAGGUAGAAAUAUUCACAGUCAGGCUAUAUUCCAUUAGAGAAAGUGUAGAGUAUCUAGAUAUUAUAUCUGGCCUGGCCUGAAAAUGGGGGGAGGCAUCCAAGAAAUAAAUACUAUAAAUUCCCACUACGCUGCGCAAUCAAAUGCAUGUGUUUUACCAAUAAGCACAUGAUAUAUUUGAGCAGCAAUAUACCCCAUAUAAUUCCUCCCAUUUCAUAGGGUAUUUUUUGUAUUAUUAUUUUUCUACAGCAGCAGCAAAAAGUAAUUAGUGUAAUCAAAGUAAUUGCCAACUGAUGUAGAUGCUGCGCGCAAAUGUAAUUUCUAUUUCGAAUUUCAAUUUCACUUUCGCAUUGGCAAAACUUAAUUCAAUUGAAAUCGAGCCAAAUUAAAUUGCCAGCUCAAUGGAAAAUGGAAUUCAAUAAAUAUCAAGUAGCCGAAACGUUGAGCCGAUUAAAACAGGGUGUGCGUGUGUUUGUGGGUGUGUGUGUGUGUGGAUUACGUAAUUUGUUAAUUAA